UACGGAGGGUGCGAGCGUUGUCCGGAAUUACUGGGCGUAAAGCGUGCGCAGGCGGUUUUGUAAGUCUGUCGUGAAAUCCCCGGGCUCAACCUGGGAAUUGCGAUGGAGACUGCAAGGCUAGAAUCUGGCAGAGGGGGGUAGAAUUCCACGUGUGAGCAGUGAAAUGCGUAGAGAUGUGGAGGAACGACCGAUGGCGAAGGCAGCCCCCUGGGUCAAGAUUGACGCUCAUG
rnacentral:rRNA from 1 species